GGGAGAUUUCCCGAGUGGACAAAGGGGGCUGACUGUAAAUCAGUUGUUUCUAACUUCGAUGGUUCGAAUCCAUCAUCUCCCACCA
rnacentral:tRNA from 1 species